rnacentral:rRNA from 1 species
GACGAACGCUGGCGGCGUGCUUAACACAUGCAAGUCGAACGGAAAGGCCCUGCUUUUGUGGGGUGCUCGAGUGGCGAACGGGUGAGUAACACGUGAGUAACCUGCCCUUGACUUUGGGAUAACUUCAGGAAACUGGGGCUAAUACCGGAUAGGAGCUCCUGCUGCAUGGUGGGGGUUGGAAAGUUUCGGCGGUUGGGGAUGGACUCGCGGCUUAUCAGCUUGUUGGUGGGGUAGUGGCUUACCAAGGCUUUGACGGGUAGCCGGCCUGAGAGGGUGACCGGCCACAUUGGGACUGAGAUACGGCCCAGACUCCUACGGGAGGCAGCAGUGGGGAAUAUUGCACAAUGGGCGGAAGCCUGAUGCAGCAACGCCGCGUGCGGGAUGACGGCCUUCGGGUUGUAAGCCGCUUUCGCCUGUGACGAAGCGUGAGUGACGGUAAUGGGUAAAGAAGCACCGGCUAACUACGUGCCAGCAGCCGCGGUGAUACGUAGGGUGCGAGCGUUGUCCGGAUUUAUUGGGCGUAAAGGGCUCGUAGGUGGUUGAUCGCGUCGGAAGUGUAAUCUUGGGGCUUAACCCUGAGCGUGCUUUCGAUACGGGUUGACUUGAGGAAGGUAGGGGAGAAUGGAAUUCCUGGUGGAGCGGUGGAAUGCGCAGAUAUCAGGAGGAACACCAGUGGCGAAGGCGGUUCUCUGGGCCUUUCCUGACGCUGAGGAGCGAAAGCGUGGGGAGCGAACAGGCUUAGAUACCCUGGUAGUCCACGCUGUAAACGGUGGGUACUAGGUGUGGGGUCCAUUCCACGGGUUCCGUGCCGUAGCUAACGCUUUAAGUACCCCGCCUGGGGAGUACGGCCGCAAGGCUAAAACUCAAAGGAAUUGACGGGGCCCCGCACAAGCGGCGGAGCAUGCGGAUUAAUUCGAUGCAACGCGUAGAACCUUACCUGGGUUUGACAUGGAUCGGGAGCGCUCAGAGAUGGGUGUGCCUCUUUUGGGGUCGGUUCACAGGUGGUGCAUGGCUGUCGUCAGCUCGUGUCGUGAGAUGUUGGGUUAAGUCCCGCAACGAGCGCAACCCUUGUUCACUGUUGCCAGCACGUUAUGGUGGGGACUCAGUGGAGACCGCCGGGGUCAACUCGGAGGAAGGUGGGGAUGACGUCAAGUCAUCAUGCCCCUUAUGUCCAGGGCUUCACGCAUGCUACAAUGGCUGGUACAGAGAGUGGCGAGCCUGUGAGGGUGAGCGAAUCUCGGAAAGCCGGUCUCAGUUCGGAUUGGGGUCUGCAACUCGACCUCAUGAAGUCGGAGUCGCUAGUAAUCGCAGAUCAGCAACGCUGCGGUGAAUACGUUCCCGGG